rnacentral:lncRNA from 1 species
AUAACAUGUCCAGUAAUGAGUACCAAACACACCAUCGUCUCAAUAUCUCGUCCGGUAUGAGGGUGAACCAUAUCUCCAAACCCUUUCAGUAUGGGAUCAUUCAACCCUGUCCUGUUGAGGUAUUAUCCAUGAUAGGGUUUUUCCUAUGUACCGCGUCCGUCCACCAUUUCUCAAGGUACCCAGUAAGUCUUUUAUAUAUAGAUCCUCAUCAAUAAACAAUCACAAUCACUUAGUAACAUAUCAUUUUAUAUUCACAGAUCAAUCAAACGACAUUUAAGCCAACAGUACAUUUUUUUAAUACAUUCACAAUUAAGAAACGUAAUUAGGGUCUCUAUUUUAAAUCAAUCAAUCAGAUA